CAGAAUACAGUAGAUCCCCUUAUAGCUCGGGUUCAUAUAACACGGAUUCUUAUAACACGGUGAAAAAAUUACAACAAUAAUUAUUCGUACAAUAUAGUACAUAUUUUUAACAAAAUAUAAUAUCAAGUGUAUAAAAGUUGCAUUUUAAUAUUUUAAUAUGAUUUUUAAGAAAGUUUAAAAAAUAUAUAUCCUUAAAGCCCACGGUUGAAUACACUUUUUUCACUUAUAUGCUCUUCUUUCUAUUUCUAUUUUUUUCUUUUUUUCUCUUUACUACGUAUAUAACACAACGGACAACAUAGAAAAUGUUUCAUGGAAAAAAGUUAACCAUCCAACCAUGAUAAAAAACAAUGCAUCUCAACCUAUAGUGCAUCUACCUCGAAAUAAUUCUAUUAUUGGUCACAAACAAUGAAUAUGGCAAUCAAUGUCAAUAAAAUAUAUUUCAGAGAAAAUAUUAUUAUUCUGAUAGAAAUUAUUAUUAUUUCUGAUAUAAAUUAUCAAUUAAACUAUAUUUAAAGUCAAAUAUUUUAAAUAAAUUUAAAAAAAAUAUUAAUAUGCAUAAUUUAUAUGAAUAUUAUAUUAUAUUAUAUUUAGAUAGAAGAUAAAAAAGGGAUUUGUUGAUAAGACAUUGAAUGAGAAACGUCAUUGAAUUAAUUGAUAAUAAGAU